rnacentral:rRNA from 1 species
GGACGCUCCGCCGGUUUCGGCCGGCGGGGAGUGGCGCACGGGUGAGUAGCGCGUGGGAACCUGUCCUUUUGUGGGGGAUAACCGAGGGAAACUUCGGCUAAUACCGCAUGCGCCCCCGGAGUGAUCCGGGGGGAAAGAUUUAUCGCAGAGGGAGGGGCCCGCGUCGGAUUAGGUUGUUGGUGGGGUAACGGCCUACCAAGCCGAUGAUCCGUAGCUGGUCUGAGAGGAUGAUCAGCCACACUGGGACUGAGACACGGCCCAGACUCCUACGGGAGGCAGCAGUGGGGAAUAUUGGACAAUGGGCGCAAGCCUGAUCCAGCCAUGCCGCGUGAGUGAUGAAGGCCCUAGGGUUGUAAAGCUCUUUUGUGCGGGAAGAUAAUGACGGUACCGCAAGAAUAAGCCCCGGCUAACUUCGUG